UGGGGAAUUUUGGACAAUGGGCGAAAGCCUGAUCCAGCAAUGCCGCGUGUGUGAAGAAGGCCUUCGGGUUGUAAAGCACUUUUGUCCGGAAAGAAAUCCUUGGCUCUAAUACAGUCGGGGGAUGACGGUACCGGAAGAAUAAGCACCGGCUAACUACGUGCCAGCAGCCGCGGUAAUACGUAGGGUGCAAGCGUUAAUCGGAAUUACUGGGCGUAAAGCGUGCGCAGGCGGUUUGCUAAGACCGAUGUGAAAUCCCCGGGCUUAACCUGGGAACUGCAUUCGUGACUGCAAGGCUAGAGUAUGGCAGAGGGGGGUAGAAUUCCACGUGUAGCAGUGAAAUGCGUAGAGAUGUGGAGGAAUACCGAUGGCGAAGGCAGCCCCCUGGGCCAAUACUGACGCUCAUGCACGAAAGCGUGGGGAGCAAACAGGAUUAGAUACCCUGGUAGUCCACGCCCUAAACGAUGUCAACUAGUUGUUGGGGAUUCAUUUCCUUAGUAACGUAGCUAACGCGUGAAGUUGACCGCCUGGGGAGUACGGUCGCAAGAUUAAAACUCAAAUGAAUUGACGGGGUCAUAGCUGUUUCCU
rnacentral:rRNA from 1 species